UUAGUUUGACUCAACACUGGAAACCUCGCCAGGUCAGGAUAUUGGAAUGAUUGACAGAUUGACUCUUUGAUUCAAUAAUUAAUGUGUUAAUAAACGAGCGGAUACCAGUUUCGAACUCGUCCCGAGACGACCCUGGCC
rnacentral:misc_RNA from 13 species